GUGAACGGGCAAGACAAAAGAUUGAAGUAAAGGUGUUAUGGCGGAACCUGCAACAAAAGGGAUAUUUGCAACACCAGCAGGUGUCUCACAAACAAAAUUGUGAUGAACAGGACUUCGGGAAUCCUCCUGUCUCUGAGGGGUUGGAGACUGAAUACAUUAAUGGAUGAGUGUGGUCAAUCCAAAAACUAUUCCCCCACUCACAUUUCUUGACACUGGGGCUGAGGACAGAGGGGAAUUGUAUGGAGCGUACUGCUUGCUACUACCAGAGCUUUGUUUCCUCAAUGUGGCUGACAAUAAGGUGACCCUGUAUUGUUGACUUACUUCCUCCAGGAAAGGCUGAGUAUUAGAAUUGGGUGCAAGAAGACAUCGGGGGCUGGUUUCCAAGACCCAGAUUAAGCCUUGACUAAAACCAUCCUCAAUAGAGAAUAGCCAUUGUAAAUACUUUUUUGUCCAGGACUAGGAUUUCUGUGUCUAGGAAACUGAUGCCAGAAGUUGUGAAAUCCCCUUUUGAUAUUAUGUAUUGAUUCCAAACGAAAGGUUCAAAUGCAAAACAAAUGAUCCACAUUUUGGCUUURCAUUCACCUGGUAAGUUAAAUAUGACUGCACAAUCUGUUUUCAUUUCAAUAUUAUUCAAACACUGCAUUUUGGUCUAAGUGACUCACUUUUAAAAUUUAUUUAUUUCACCUUUAUU